GUAUUGAUUGGUGCUUGCAUCAUGAUUUACAUUUGAGUGAGUGGCGAACUGGUGAGUAACACGUGGGAAACCUGCCCAGAAGCGGGGGAUAACACCUGGAAACAGAUGCUAAUACCGCAUAACAACUUGGACCGCAUGGUCCGAGUUUGAAAGAUGGCUUCGGCUAUCACUUUUGGAUGGUCCCGCGGCGUAUUAGCUAGAUGGUGGGGUAACGGCUCACCAUGGCAAUGAUACGUAGCCGACCUGAGAGGGUAAUCGGCCACAUUGGGACUGAGACACGGCCCAAACUCCUACGGGAGGCAGCAGUAGGGAAUCUUCCACAAUGGACGAAAGUCUGAUGGAGCAACGCCGCGUGAGUGAAGAAGGGUUUCGGCUCGUAAAACUCUGUUGUUAAAGAAGAACAUAUCUGAGAGUAACUGUUCAGGUAUUGACGGUAUUUAACCAGAAAGCCACGGCUAACUACGUGCCAGCAGCCGCGGUAAUACGUAGGUGGCAAGCGUUGUCCGGAUUUAUUGGGCGUAAAGCGAGCGCAGGCGGUUUUUUAAGUCUGAUGUGAAAGCCUUCGGCUCAACCGAAGAAGUGCAUCGGAAACUGGGAAACUUGAGUGCAGAAGAGGACAGUGGAACUCCAUGUGUAGCGGUGAAAUGCGUAGAUAUAUGGAAGAACACCAGUGGCGAAGGCGGCUGUCUGGUCUGUAACUGACGCUGAGGCUCGAAAGUAUGGGUAGCAAACAGGAUUAGAUACCCUGGUAGUCCAUACCGUAAACGAUGAAUGCUAAGUGUUGGAGGGUUUCCGCCCUUCAGUGCUGCAGCUAACGCAUUAAGCAUUCCGCCUGGGGAGUACGGCCGCAAGGCUGAAACUCAAAGGAAUUGACGGGGGCCCGCACAAGCGGUGGAGCAUGUGGUUUAAUUCGAAGCUACGCGAAGAACCUUACCAGGUCUUGACAUACUAUGCAAAUCUAAGAGAUUAGACGUUCCCUUCGGGGACAUGGAUACAGGUGGUGCAUGGUUGUCGUCAGCUCGUGUCGUGAGAUGUUGGGUUAAGUCCCGCAACGAGCGCAACCCUUAUUAUCAGUUGCCAGCAUUAAGUUGGGCACUCUGGUGAGACUGCCGGUGACAAACCGGAGGAAGGUGGGGAUGACGUCAAAUCAUCAUGCCCCUUAUGACCUGGGCUACACACGUGCUACAAUGGAUGGUACAACGAGUUGCGAACUCGCGAGAGUAAGCUAAUCUCUUAAAGCCAUUCUCAGUUCGGAUUGUAGGCUGCAACUCGCCUACAUGAAGUCGGAAUCGCUAGUAAUCGCGGAUCAGCAUGCCGCGGUGAAUACGUUCCCGGGCCUUGUACACACCGCCCGUCACACCAUGAGAGUUUGUAACACCCAAAGUCGGUGGGGUAACCUUUUAGGAAC
rnacentral:rRNA from 1 species